GAUGAACGCUAGCUACAGGCUUAACACAUGCAAGUCGAGGGGCAGCAUUACGGUAGCUUGCUACUGUAGAUGGCGACCGGCGCACGGGUGAGUAACGCGUAUCCAACCUGCCCAUGACUUGGGGAUAACCUUGCGAAAGCAAGCCUAAUACCCGAUACGCUUCAUAGAUGGCAUCUGAAAUGAAGUAAAGGUUUACGGUUAUGGAUGGGGAUGCGUCCGAUUAGCUUGUUGGCGGGGGUAACGGCCCACCAAGGCAUCGAUCGGUAGGGGUUCUGAGAGGAAGGUCCCCCCACAUUGGAACUGAGACACGGUCCAAACUCCUACGGGAGGCAGCAGUGAGGAAUAUUGGUCAAUGGAGGCAACUCUGAACCAGCCAAGUAGCGUGCAGGAUGACGGCCCUAUGGGUUGUAAACUGCUUUUAUGCGGGGAUAAAUUGACUCACGUGUGGGUCAUUGCAGGUACCGCAUGAAUAAGGCCGGCUAAUUCCGUGCCAGCA
rnacentral:rRNA from 1 species